UGCCACCUGUGACCCAAUCACACCCGUGUCGUCACAAGCUAACGCAAAUUGGAAAAGUACAACUUUUUUCUUUGUAUUUUUCACAAGUUUAUUCAUCUUUUUUCACCACGGGCCUCAAGAAACUUUAGUGGAAUUAAAUUAUGAGCGUGGGUACGUUCUUACGUAUGUUUUCUCUCGGUUGUCAAAGUUUUCCUCCGUCACCCACGAUGCCUUUUUGCUUGUAACUCAACCUUCUCUUCACACCGUCGCACAACGCCAAAGAAGCAGUCAUGUUGGUGCCGAUGCGUGUGCCUUGGCCACCAGGGGGCUGUGAAGUACCUACAUGUAAUACGUGCAGUUUGAUGAACCAUGAGGAAUACAGUCUAAAGAUCCAUUUCCCGAGCCGCUUAUCCUCACGAGGGUCGCGGGAAUGGUGGAGCCAAUCCCAGCUUUCAUCAGGCAGUAGGCAUUGUACACUUUGAACUUCCCACACAGGCGGGACCAGGAUUCGAACCCGAUCCUCAGAACUGUGAGGCAGAUGCUCCAACCAGGUGCAGCGCACAACCGCCUCAUCAGGGAAUAUUUCAGGCUGCAAAAGCAAACGUGUUCCAAAUGUGGGAUGGAAGAUGAGAAAGGCGCACGUGGAGCACUCAGAGUUGGUCAAAAGUGGAGGCGUUCCACACGGCACCUGGCGGGACACGGGGCCGAGACCCCCGCCAAGGCCGCGCGGGCGAAAAGCUGACCAGCGAGACGUUGUCCUAAAUCCACAAAUUGGAGUUUGUUGACAAACGCAAGCAAAAAAAACCCAACAACUUUAAUCCAUGAUUACAUCAACAUAUGAGGCCAUAUGGGCAAAAUAUUAAAAGAUAUGGAAAGUGCUUCCCCUGGAGUUUCAUGUGAGAUAUGACUCAAUGUGGCUAAUUAAAAACAGAUUUUUAACUCUCUACAACGCAAUCAUUUGAGAGUGGUGUUAAGAUAUA